AUUGAACGCUGGCGGCAGGCCUAACACAUGCAAGUCGAGCGGAUGAGAGGAGCUUGCUCUUCGAUUCAGCGGCGGACGGGUGAGUAAUGCCUAGGAAUCUGCCUAGUAGUGGGGGACAACGUUUCGAAAGGAACGCUAAUACCGCAUACGUCCUACGGGAGAAAGUGGGGGAUCUUCGGACCUCACGCUAUUUGAUGAGCCUAGGUCGGAUUAGCUAGUUGGUAGGGUAAAGGCCUACCAAGGCGACGAUCCGUAACUGGUCUGAGAGGAUGAUCAGUCACACUGGAACUGAGACACGGUCCAGACUCCUACGGGAGGCAGCAGUGGGGAAUAUUGGACAAUGGGCGAAAGCCUGAUCCAGCCAUGCCGCGUGUGUGAAGAAGGCCUUCGGGUCGUAAAGCACUUUAAGUUGGGAGGAAGGGCUCAUAGCGAAUACCUGUGAGUUUUGACGUUACCAACAGAAUAAGCACCGGCUAACUUCGUGCCAGCCGCCGCCGUAA
rnacentral:rRNA from 1 species